rnacentral:rRNA from 1 species
AAGUGGGCACCAUGUGGGAUUUUCUCUCAAUAGGUUGAGAGCAUCUCUCUCUAACUCACUUUUAUUGAGCAUGACCAUUCUUAGUUGGUGAAGCGAUUUGUCUGGUUAAUUUCGUUAAUGAACGAGACUUCAGUCUGCUAACUAGCUAUGUCGAGGUACCCCUUUGUGGCCAGCUUCUUAGAGGGACUACGGUCUUUUAGGCAAUGGAAGUUUAAGGCAAUAAUAGGUUUGUGAUGCGCUUAGAUGUUCUGGGCCACAAGCACGCUACAUUAAUGUAUUCAACGAGUUUAUAGCCUCGCCCGAUAGGUCCGGGUAAUCUUUGAAAUUUCAUCGUGAUGGGGAUAGAUCAUUGUAAUUGUUGGUCUUCAAUGAGGAAUUCCUAGUAAGCAUAAGUCAUUAGCUCAUGUUGACUAC